CUUGCCUUCUGUCAGCGGUCUGGCGGCUCCCAGUUCUGGCAGUCGAUUGUCCAGCUUCUCCCGGUCCUCCGCAUUGGGACGUCCAUCUCGGUUGGAUCUGGAGCGGUGACUCUGUUCUGGUUUGACCGUUGGGCUGGCGACUCCCCCUUCGCGAUUCGCUUCCUAUACCCCUUCUCUAUUGCCGUAGACCCUUCCGUAUAUGUUGCGAGAGCCCUUAUUGACUUAGGGCGCCUCGCUUUUCGGAGGCCGUUCGGCCCCCAGGAGUCCGCCGCCUGGCGUGAGUUACUUUGCGUUGCGCUCCACGAGCCUGCUGUGGAUGCGGGUCCGGACCUGAUUAGAUGGCGGCUAGAGCCAUCAGGCCAAUUCUCCACCAAGUCCCUCUACCAGGCCAUUGCCCCCUCCACCGCCCCACCUCCCCUCACGACGGUUUGGUCCGUCUGCCUGCCCGUGAAGAUCCGGAUCUUCAUGUGGCAAUGGAUCCGUGGACGGAUCCCGUCUGGGGUGGAGGUCCGCAAGAGGAAUGGACCCAGAACGGGCAUCUGCCCGCUUUGCGGUGUCCCCGAAGACUUGAAUCACAUCUUCUUCUUCUGUGUGUCCGCUUAG
rnacentral:rRNA from 1 species